rnacentral:rRNA from 1 species
CCUACGGGUGGCAGCAGUGAGGAAUAUUGGUCAAUGGACGAGAGUCUGAACCAGUCAAGUAGCGUGAAGGAUGACUGCCCUAUGGGUUGUAAACUUCUUUUAUAUGGGAAUAAAAUGUUCCACGUGUGGGAUUUUGUAUGUACCAUAUGAAUAAGGAUCGGCUAACUCCGUGCCAGCAGCCGCGGUAAUACGGAGGAUCCGAGCGUUAUCCGGAUUUAUUGGGUUUAAAGGGAGCGUAGGUGGAUUGUUAAGUCAGUUGUGAAAGUUUGCGGCUCAACCGUAAAAUUGCAGUUGAAACUGGCAGUCUUGAGUACAGUAGAGGUGGGCGGAAUUCGUGGUGUAGCGGUGAAAUGCUUAGAUAUCACGAAGAACUCCGAUUGCGAAGGCAGUUCACUGGACUGCAACUGACACUGAGGCUCGAAAGUGUGGGUAUCAAACAGGAUUGGAUACCCGGGUAGUC